rfam:Schistosoma haematobium scaffold722_4, whole genome shotgun sequence.
AUUCAACUGACGAGUCCGAAACAGGACGAAACGUACAUCCUGAAU